UUAUGGGCAAAGGGGUGUGGCUAUGCAAAUGAGGCAAUGACAUCACUGUUAAACACCUGUUCGAUGGGGGAUGGUCAGCGGUCACUCAGGGGUCACUCAGGGUCACUCAGGGGUCACUCAGGGGUCACUCAGGGUCACUCAGGGUCACUCAGGGGUCACUCAGGGGUCACUCAGGGUCACUCAGGGGUCACUCAGGGUCACUCAGAGGUCACUCAGGGUCACUCAGGGGUCACUCAGAGGUCACUCAGGGGUCACUCAGGGUCACUCAGGGGUCACUCAGGGUCACUCAGAGGUCACUCAGGGUCACUCAGAGGUCACUCAGGGGUCACUCAGGGGUCACUCAGGGUCACUCGGGGGUCACUCAGGGUCACUCAGGGGUCACUCAGGGGUCACUCAGGGGUCACUCAGGGUCACUCGGGGGUCACUCAGGGUCACUCAGGGGUCACUCAGGGUCACUCAGGGUCACUCAGGGUCACUCAGGGGUCACUCAGAGGUCACUCAGGGUCACUCAGGGGUCACUCAGGGGUCACUCAGGGGUCACUCAGGGGUCACUCAGGGGUCACUCAGAGGUCACUCAGGGGUCACUCAGGGGUCACUCAGGGUCACUCAGGGGUCACUCAGGGUCAUUCAGGGGUCACUCAGGGGUCACUCAGGGGUC